UACGGGGGGGGCAAGCGUUGUUCGGAAUUACUGGGCGUAAAGGGCUCGUAGGCGGCCAACUAAGUCAUACGUGAAAUCCCUCGGCUUAACCGGGGAACUGCGUCUGAUACUGGAUGGCUUGAGUUCGGGAGAGGGAUGCGGAAUUCCGGGUGUAGCGGUGAAAUGCGUAGAUAUCUGGAGGAACACCGGUGGCGAAGGCGGCAUCCUGGACCGAUACUGACGCUGAGGUGCGAAAGCGUGGGGAGCAAACAGG
rnacentral:rRNA from 1 species